GUGGUUGGUGCUGGCCUGGUGAUAGUCUGCCAUGGAGAGAGAUGGGAGUAAUGUUACAUCAUCUCUCUAGGUGGUUGGUGCUGGCCUGGUGAUAGUCUGCCAUGGAGAGAGAUGGGAGUAAUGUUACAUCAUCUCUCUAGGUGUCUGGUGCUGGCCUGGUGAUAGUCUGCCAUGGGGAGAGAUGGGAGUAAUGUUACAUCAUCUCUCUAGGUGGUUGGUGAUGGCCUGGUGAUAGUCUGCCA